rnacentral:antisense_RNA from 1 species
AGUAACCAAAAACAACACCGAAGUUUGUAGUUGGGUUAGUAAUAAUUCUAACGUCACCACCACCCGGAGCCCAAGUGUCAUAAAUACCACCAAAGUACAUAGCUUUUAAAACUAAUAACCAAGCACCACAACCUAACAUGAUUAAGUGGUAACCUAAAAUUGAUGUCAUUUUAUUUUUGUCUUUCCA